AUUGAACGCUGGCGGCAGGCCUAACACAUGCAAGUCGAGCGGAUGAAGGGAGCUUGCUCCUGGAUUCAGCGGCGGACGGGUGAGUAAUGCCUAGGAAUCUGCCUGGUAGUGGGGGAUAACGUCCGGAAACGGGCGCUAAUACCGCAUACGUCCUGCGGGAGAAAGUGGGGGAUCUUCGGACCUCACGCUAUCAGAUGAGCCUAGGUCGGAUUAGCUAGUUGGUGGGGUAAAGGCCUACCAAGGCGACGAUCCGUAACUGGUCUGAGAGGAUGAUCAGUCACACUGUAACUGAGACACAGUCCAGACUCCUACGGGAGGCAGCAGUGGGGAAUAUUGGGCGAUGGGCGAGAGCCUGAUCCAGCCAAGCCGCGUGUGUGAAGAAGGUCUUCUGAUUGUAAAGCACUUUAAGCUGGGAGGAAGGACAGUAAGUUAAUACCUUGCUGUUUUGACGUUACCAACAGAAUAAGCACCGGCUAACUUCGUG
rnacentral:rRNA from 1 species